rnacentral:lncRNA from 1 species
GCAAGAAGUAUGCUCACCCUGGGAGGAACACCCUUCCCAGGAGUGGCUCACAGGAGCUUUUAAGCCCCUGGUGGCUCCUAGAAACAGCCUUAGGGUUCAGGCUUUCUUGAAUACAGCACAAAUGGAGAUUAUCACCCAUCCUGCUCACUUUGAGGGUCCUGUGGAAACAGGUGGUGACCCAAUGGAUACCCCAAGCAGUACUCAAAUAAAGAGGAAAGGCCUUCAUGGACUCCAAAGAAGGUUCAACCAGAGAGAAAUACUGGGGACCUUCAAUUGGAGGCUUCCAGCUGUCAGCACCUGAGCUAUCCAGCAAGGAUCAAGUGUCUUUAGCUGCCAGGGGGCAUGAACCAAGACCCCCCAUAUGCUUGCCGCAGCACUGUCUGUAAACUGGGAUGGAGUGGGGAGAAGGAUUUGGCAACAGGCUCAGCACUUCACGAAUUGUCCAUCCACGAUGGCCAUUCAUCUGCUUGCCUUGGACUGAGGACUUUCUGAGCUAACAGAUACCUAGCAAGGUCCCCAACUUCCACAUGGGAACCAUGUUUCUUCACACACAUGACCCACCUGCUCUUAAAACUUCUGUUCCCACUCUGACUCCAGGACUUGACAUCUGUAUAGCUUGGUUCAAAUACAACCCCGGUUUCCG